CAAACAAUUCACUCUGGUUUUCCUGGGACUUUCGAGGUUUUAAAGCAGCAAGUCCAGAGACCUGGGAGCUGGAGCCCUCUCAGUCUCAAGCAGUUGGGGCUGAGGGUCACCCUGGCUGUGUAUUGUGAGAGUUUGCUCUUACAGCCUCCCUCCCUUCCCAUGCUCUCUCCUGCUCCGUUGACCCCCCACCCCAGGUCUCCCCUGCUGGGACCAGGUCUCCCCACUCCCUCCAAAUCCCAAAUCACCCAGGGUUCCUUCACCUGCCACAGCUAGGAAGCCAAGAAUCUUCCAAUUCAAACCUGACAUGGCUCCAUGGAGAGCUGGCUGCUCUGCAACGGGCCCAGUUUUCAAUCAUGUAUUUCCUCCGGACUCUGAUUCAGCCGGAUGGUCUGACUCACACAGUCGUCAGACAUAUAUCAACAAGUGUGUCUCUGCCGUCUGCCUGGAGGCCAGAGCCUCCUGGUGAGCCCUUGGUUCAAGGGCUCACACCUAGUGGGCAAAAGCGGUCAAGUUCCCUUAAUUUUCAUGCCCCCAAGAGCCAUCUGCCCUCCACCUGGCUCUGCGGGAAUCUGGCGCAGGCCUGGUACCCAGAGGACAGGGAGAUGUGUGUUGAGCGAAUCGUGAGCACCUGGAGGGAACAGCUGGCACUUCACCUGCUCAGCCUCUCCCCUCGCCUGGGUGUCAGCACCUGCAAGUCUUCCUGUGAAUCGCCUGCUGUCCGCAUGGUCUGUGUGUGCGCGCAUGUGCGUAUGCCUGCAUGCGUGUUGGGCUACCAGGCACAGGGGCUCAGAGGGUCCCUGCUGGCAGGAGCAGGUCUUCCCACGCUCAUCUCCUGUCCUUUCUCUGAGACCCCGCAGGAGGCUCUGUCUCCUCUCCCCAGGGCUGGCUUCCACCUGGCAAAGAAGGCUGUGCCCAGCAGGGAGGGAGGAGGGCAUCCUCUGCCUGCCCUGCCAUGCUUUGUGUUCUCUCUGCUCAGAUGCACAGAGCCGCAUCUCCUGACUGCAGCUCCAGGGACCCUCUCCCCUGGCUGGAGUUCCGGGGACCGUCUCCGCUGGCUGCAGCUCCAGGGACCGUCUCCUCCUGCUCGCGGUUGGUUUCUCAGUGUGAAUGAGACUCUGCUCCACCCGACCAGGCAGAGGGCUUGGGAUCUGCAGUCCGACCCAGGGGCUUCAAGUCUUGGCUCUGCCACCUCCAGAGUGAGCGACCUUAGGUGGCCCUGAGCUUCGGCUUCCUCCUCUGGAGUAUGGGGAUGUUAACUGUGCCUCACGUUCAUGGGUGUGGAUGAGAUGGCGCUGCCCACGUGGUGGGCACAGUAAGGAUCCCAAGGAUGUUCAUGCCAGACUCUCCAGAACCUGUGAAUAUGUUGGGGCACCUGCCAAAGGGGAUUAGGGGGCAGGCGGAUUAAGGCAGCUCAUCAACCACGAGAUGGGGAGGCUGUGCUGGGUUGUCCUGGGCCCAGAGGAGUCACAAAGGCCCUUAAAUGUGGAAGAGAGAGACAGGAGAACCAGAGUGACGGCAGCCUGAGAGGGUCUGGCACAUUGGACGCACAGGGAGCCCCGGCGCUGUCCUCACAGCACAGCAGGCCAGCUGUGAGCAUCCCACACUGGCCGCGUCCAGAGAGCCUGGCUGAAUGAUGAGUGAAUGAAGGAUGGCUAAAGUGGGCUGGGGAGGUGGGAAGAGGCCGCCGGGGCCCCGUCCCUGCUGUACACCAGACCUCUCCCCUCCAAGACAGCACGAGGGGCCCAGGGUCCCCCAGGCUCUCUUUGCCCACCCUGGCUGCACCCGUCCUGGCCUUCACCUCCAAGCAGAAGGCGCUCAGGACGAGAGCCCAGCUCCACACGGCUCAGAGACCACUCCCCUCCUGUCCAGCUCUGGUGUCUCAAGCUGUGCUUCGGAGAGUGAGGACAGAGGGGGCCUCUCAGGACAGGCCAACCCGGUAUGAGGACAGAGCAGGCAGAGGCCACAGUCCAGGUGGCUGCAGCUGCUCCGCACCUGGAGCUUGCUGGACUGUGAACAGGAGCAAGGACUGACGCCCUGCAUCCCGGCACCCUGCACCCCAGCAUCCUGCACCCUGAUGUCCCUGCUGGGGCCUUGCGGGCUCUUGGGACUCCUGCCUGCCCAGCCCACUGAGUGCCUCCGCGCUGGCUGACCGGCGGGGCUGCUACAGCAAGCACAUUCACGGGGAGAGCACCGGAUGUCUGGGGGAACUGGCUGAGGUGGGGCAGUUUGGGAAGACUUGUCCAAGGAGGACACGUUCACCGAGUCCUGGAAUGUGCACAGCCUUGACUCCUGUCCACCCAGCAAUCUCACCGUGCGCCCUUCCAGGCCUGCUGAGCAGAACCGCGUGGAAGGGUGAAGCAGAGACAGCCUGGAGUCACCUUGGAUUGUGAAACCCAUCAGCAAGUUUAAAGAAAUCAGCCAAGAGACACACAAAGAAAGCUGAUGUUUUGGAGGAAACAGGGAAUUAGGUAGAUUAUCUUCUGAGGAAAGAAGAUCCAUUUCCAAGACAUAUUUCAAUGCAGCCCAGUUUCCUAAAAAUUAUUCCUGGGAAGGGCUUGCUAUGAACGCACCUCAGGCCGAUGGACACAGAGAGUGUCCCUUAGAAUUUCCUGUGAUGUUCCCACCAAUUUCUCUGGACCAGGUUUAAAACUGAUGAAUAGCAGCCCCCAGCCCCCUAAGCCCGUUCCCUUUUCUCCUCAUGCCCUCCCUGGCCUACCUAUACUCUCCUCUCUGCCUCCUGCUAGAAGGAGGGUUCCUGAUUGCUGGGCCCCCAGCGGAAAGCCAUUUUCUUUUUGCAAUUUGCUUUUGGGAAAAAGACAACACACAGGCAACACAGGCGAUGCAGAGGGCCAAGCCAGCCCAUCUGUUCCAUCUGCAAAACAGAAGUAGCAUUUUGUCUGCUCUCACCCAGAAGCUGCGGGCUUA